AACGCUGGCGGCAUGCUUUACACAUGCAAGUCGAACGGCAGCACGGAAGAGCUUGCUCUUUUGGUGGCGAGUGGCGAACGGGUGAGUAAUGCAUCGGAACGUACCGAGUAGUGGGGGAUAACUGUCCGAAAGGAUGGCUAAUACCGCAUACGCUUUGAGAAGGAAAGCGGGGGCUCUUAGGACCUCGCGCUAUUCGAGCGGCCGAUGUCUGAUUAGCUAGUUGGUGGGGUAAGAGCCUACCAAGGCGACGAUCAGUAGCGGGUCUGAGAGGAUGAUCCGCCACACUGGGACUGAGACACGGCCCAGACUCCUACGGGAGGCAGCAGUGGGGAAUUUUGGACAAUGGGGGCAACCCUGAUCCAGCCAUGCCGCGUGUCUGAAGAAGGCCUUCGGGUUGUAAAGGACUUUUGUCAGGGAAGAAAGGGUUUGUGCUAAUACCACGAACAUAUGACGGUACCUGAAGAAUAAGCACCGGCUAACUACGUGCCAGCAGCCGCGGUAAUACGUAGGGUGCGAGCGUUAAUCGGAAUUACUGGGCGUAAAGCGGGCGCAGACGGUUACUUAAGUCAGAUGUGAAAUCCCCGGGCUCAACCUGGGAACUGCGUUUGAAACUGGGUAGCUAGAGUAUGUCAGAGGGGGGUAGAAUUCCACGUGUAGCAGUGAAAUGCGUAGAGAUGUGGAGGAAUACCGAUGGCGAAGGCAGCCCCCUGGGAUAAUACUGACGUUCAUGCCCGAAAGCGUGGGUAGCAAACAGGAUUAGAUACCCUGGUAGUCCACGCCCUAAACGAUGUCAAUUAGCUGUUGGGGCACUUGAUGCCUUAGUAGCGUAGCUAACGCGUGAAAUUGACCGCCUGGGGAGUACGGUCGCAAGAUUAAAACUCAAAGGAAUUGACGGGGACCCGCACAAGCGGUGGAUGAUGUGGAUUAAUUCGAUGCAACGCGAAGAACCUUACCUGGUCUUGACAUGUACGGAAUCCUCCAGAGACGGAGGAGUGCCUUCGGGAGCCGUAACACAGGUGCUGCAUGGCUGUCGUCAGCUCGUGUCGUGAGAUGUUGGGUUAAGUCCCGCAACGAGCGCAACCCUUGUCAUUAGUUGCCAUCAUUAAGUUGGGCACUCUAAUGAGACUGCCGGUGACAAGCCGGAGGAAGGUGGGGAUGACGUCAAGUCCUCAUGGCCCUUAUGACCAGGGCUUCACACGUCAUACAAUGGUCGGUACAGAGGGUAGCCAAGCCGCGAGGUGGAGCCAAUCUCAUAAAACCGAUCGUAGUCCGGAUUGCACUCUGCAACUCGAGUGCAUGAAGUCGGAAUCGCUAGUAAUCGCAGGUCAGCAUACUGCGGUGAAUACGUUCCCGGGUCUUGUACACACCGCCCGUCACACCAUGGGAGUGGGGGAUACCAGAAGUAGGUAGGGUAACCGCAAGGAGCCCGCUUACCACGGUAUGCUUCAUGACUGGGGUGAAGUCGUAACAAGGUAGCCGUAGGGGAACCUGCGGCUGGAUCACCUCCUUUCUAGAGAAAAGAAGAGGUUGUUGGGUACUCACACUUAUCGGUAAGCUGUGUAAAAGAUGCAUGAGAAGUUUUAAGAAUGCUUAUGCGCAAGCUAUAAGCUGUCUGUUGUUAAGACAAUAGAGACCUUGGGUUUGUAGCUCAGCUGGUUAGAGCACACGCUUGAUAAGCGUGGGGUCGGAGGUUCAAGUCCUCCCAGACCCACCAGAGAUUCUUCGGGCAGGUUGUAGAAGCUGUCCGGACGGAUAAGGGGGCAUAGCUCAGUUGGUAGAGCACCUGCUUUGCAAGCAGGGGGUCAUCGGUUCGAUCCCGUUUGCCUCCACCAAAAGCCGCUAGGUUAAAACAUAUUGCUACUUUUUAAAUUAAAGCCAGCUUUAAAAGCUGUUUUUAAUUUGCAAAGUGACUAAGCAACAGUCGUUGUUUAGUAGGCAUGCAUCGCUCUUUAACAAAUUGGAAAGCCGAAAUCAACAAACAAAGACAAUGUCGAUUUACCGAAAGGUAAGUUGUACAGUAUUUGGGUGAUGAUUGUAUCGAGUAACUUAUGAAAGACAAAAGGCAUAAGUUACACACAACAAAAGCAGUAAGCUUUAUCAAAGUAUGAACAUCUAAUCUGAUUACUCGUCAACGGUAAUUUAGAUGAAGUCAAAGAGGUUCUUGAAAUGAUAGAGUCAAGUGAAUAAGUGCAUCAGGUGGAUGCCUUGGCGAUGAUAGGCGAAGAAGGACGUGUAAGCCUGCGAAAAGCAUCGGGGAGCUGGCAAUAAAGCUAUGAUCCGGUGAUGUCCGAAUGGGGAAACCCACUGCAUUCUGUGCAGUAUCCGCUCCUGAAUACAUAGGGAGUGAGAAGCGAACCCGGAGAACUGAACCAUCUAAGUACCCGGAGGAAAAGAAAUCAACCGAGAUUCCGCAAGUAGUGGCGAGCGAACGCGGAGGAGCCUGUAUACGAUAGCCAUUGAGAUAGAAGAACAAGCUGGGAAGCUUGGCCAUAGUGGGUGACAGCCCCGUAUUCGAAAUUUCAUUGGUGGUACUAAAUAUACGACAAGUAGGGCGGGACACGUGAAAUCCUGUCUGAAUAUGGGGGGACCAUCCUCCAAGGCUAAAUACUCAUCAUCGACCGAUAGUGAACCAG
rnacentral:rRNA from 1 species